rnacentral:rRNA from 1 species
UACGGAGGGUGCAAGCGUUAUCCGGAUUCACUGGGUUUAAAGGGUGCGUAGGCGGGUUGGUAAGUCCGUGGGGAAAUCCCCAAGCUUAACUUGGGAACUGCCGUGGAUACUAUCAAUCUUGAAUAUCGUGGAGGUAAGCGGAAUAUGUCACGUAGCGGUGAAAUGCUUAGAUAUGACAUAGAACACCAAUUGCGUAGGCAGCUUACUACACGAUCAUUGACGCUGAGGCACGAAAGCGUGGGGAGCAAACAGG